rnacentral:rRNA from 1 species
GAUGAACGCUGGCGGCGUGCCUAAUACAUGCAAGUCGAGCGAACAGACGAGGAGCUUGCUCCUCUGACGUUAGCGGCGGACGGGUGAGUAACACGUGGAUAACCUACCUAUAAGACUGGGAUAACUUCGGUAAACCGGAGCUAAUACCGGAUAAUAUAUUGAACCGCAUGGUUCAAUAGUGAAAGACGGUUUUGCUGUCACUUAUAGAUGGAUCCGCGCCGCAUUAGCUAGUUGGUAAGGUAACGGCUUACCAAGGCAACGAUGCGUAGCCGACCUGAGAGGGUGAUCGGCCACACUGGAACUGAGACACGGUCCAGACUCCUACGGGAGGCAGCAGUAGGGAAUCUUCCGCAAUGGGCGAAAGCUUGACGGAGCAACGCCGCGUGAGUGAUGAAGGUCUUCGGAUCGUAAAACUCUGUUAUUAGGGAAGAACAAAUGUGUAAGUAACUAUGCACGUCUUGACGGUACCUAAUCAGAAAGCCACGGCUAACUACGUG